rnacentral:rRNA from 1 species
CUAUGCGCCUUGCCAGCCCGCUCAGGUGUGCCAGCCGCCGCGGUAAUACGUAGGUGGCAAGCGUUGUCCGGAUUUACUGGGUGUAAAGGGCGUGCAGCCGGGAAGACAAGUCAGAUGUGAAAUCCCGCGGCUCAACCGCGGAACUGCAUUUGAAACUGUUUUCUUGAGUACCGGAGAGGUCAUCGGAAUUCCUUGUGUAGCGGUGAAAUGCGUAGAUAUAAGGAAGAACACCAGUGGCGAAGGCGGAUGACUGGACGGCAACUGACGGUGAGGCGCGAAAGCGUGGGGAGCAAACAGG